UACGUAGGCAGCGAGCGUUGUUCGGAGUUACUGGGCGUAAAGGGUGCGUAGGCGGGUCUUUAAGUCAGGGGUGAAAUCCUGGAGCUCAACUCCAGAACUGCCUUUGAUACUGAAGAUCUUGAGUUCGGGAGAGGUGAGUGGAACUGCGAGUGUAGAGGUGAAAUUCGUAGAUAUUCGCAAGAACACCCGUGGCGAAGGCGGCUCUCUGGUACGUGACUGACGCUGAGACGCGAAAGCG
rnacentral:rRNA from 1 species